AUUCCUACGGGAGGCAGCAGUGAGGAAUAUUGGUCAAUGGGCGGGAGCCUGAUGCAGCGACGCCGCGUGAGCGAAGAAGUAUUUCGGUAUGUAAAGCUCUAUCAGCAGGGAAGAAAAUGACGGUACCUGAGUAAGAAGCUCCGGCUAAAUACGUGCCAGCAGCCGCGGUAAUACGUAUGGAGCAAGCGUUAUCCGGAUUUACUGGGUGUAAAGGGAGCGCAGGCGGUCUGGCAAGUCUGAUGUGAAAUACCGGGGCUCAACUCCGGGACUGCAUUGGAAACUGUCAGACUGGAGUGUCGGAGAGG
rnacentral:rRNA from 1 species